AAACCUGAAUGAAAUAAUCGACUAAGCUCCCGGAAGAGACAAGCCCAUUGUAUGAGAUAGUAAGUCCAUACCUGCUGUUAUCCCUGGCUGAAGAAGGAAGAAGGAUCUGUCAAAGAUAAAGAGAAUCUAACCUAUCCUGUGACAACUUUUAGCAGCGAUUUAUUGACAAGGCAUGACAGAAUCCAAAGGGGUAUCUAUUUUUGUGGUGGAGAAGCUACAGCUGCUGCUUCCUGCAUGGUAUUCUUUGGAAAUAUGCACCCUGUUUUCUAGGGUUUCUGAUAAGAAGACUACUUAAUUUUUACCUUUGUUCCUUUAUCAGUGAAGAGUUUUGGUUUUGUUUAUUUUUUCCUCUCUGGUUUCUUUCAGUAUUUUCCAUCUGUUUUUGAUUUUUUU